AAACAUGUCUUUUUGAGUUAAUUUUAAAGUCUAACCUGCCCAAUGAAAAUUUUUAAUGGCCGCAGUAAAUUAACUGUGCAAAGGUAGCAUAAUCAUUAGUCUUUUAAUUGGAGGCUUGUAUGAAUGGUUGGACGAAGUAAAAUCUGUUUCAUAAAAAUUUAUUAUAGAAUUUUAUAUUUUAGUAAAAAAGCUAAAAUUUAAUUAAAAGACGAGAAGACCCUAUAAAUCUUAAUAAUUUUUAUACUUUAAUUUUUUUAGAUUUUUUAAAAUUUAAUUUUAAAAAUUAUUUUAUUGGGGUGAUAUUAAAAUUUAAAAAACUUUUAAUUUUUUUUUUCAUUUAUUUAUGAUUUAUUGAUCCUUUAUUAAUGAUUAAAAGAAUAAGUUACUUUAGGGAUAACAGCGUAAUUUUUUUGGAGAGUUCUUAUUGAUAAAAAAGUUUGCGACCUCGAUGUUGGAUUAAGAAAUAUUUUAGGUGUAGUUGCUUAAGUAAAUAAGUCUGUUCGACUUUUAAAUUCUUACAUGAUC
rnacentral:rRNA from 1 species